GACGGGGACAAGCCAUUCCUCUCAGGCAGUCCUUGUCCCCUCCUGGCUCCAGAAGGGCAGCAUAGGCCCAGAAGCUGCAGGCGUGGACAGAAACGAGGUCUCCCGGGCUCCGGGUGCGGAAGGCUCAGUGGAAACUUUCUGAGUGGUUGUCUUCAAAAGGCCCACCUAGCACAGGACUCCAGAGAAUGCUUCGUUGAGCCUGGAGCAGCUGUCCAGACCUGGUGAUCCAGAGUGAUCCAGCAGCUCCACGCAGCAAGCUCCAGAGAUCAGCCACAGACUGGUGCCCCCCCACCCCAGGCAGCAAUCGGCUGCAUCAUGGCCUCACUGGGGCACAGGGACAGUGCAGAGAGCUUGAACAAACAUCCCGUCGUACAUGGCCACCAUCCCAGUGUGCAUACAGAAAGAGGCCACCCUGGCCAUUAAGGGAUCAAGGUGAAGCAGGACAAGGAAGAGAUCUUCCCCAGUGGAAGAGGAUGGAGAAGACCCUCACGGUGUAGCGGCUUCCCCAGAGGUUCCCACACCGCCUUGUGCCCCAGUGGGCUUUGAAGCCACAAGAGUCCUCUUUGCUAAGGUAUUGUGGGCUGCAGUAACCCUGAGCGCCCACUAGAGGUCACACCACAACCUCUUUAAAAGGAAUGGUCAGAUUGACAGACGGUGCCUGUAGAUGGGAGAGCUAACUAGACACCCGACGUAGGAGGUAGACUACAUCAGUGCCAGAUCAUGACCCCUCCAUGAGCCCCCAUCUGUAAUCCCAGCUCCCCCAUGUGUAAUCUCAGCUCCAGAAAGCAUCCGCCCCUGCCCUCACAGCUGGCUGGCUGCUGUUUCCCACAGGAUGAGAAAAGGCUGGAAAGGAAAGGGAAAGUCUGGCAAAACCACCUGAUAUUUGCUUUAAAGUAUUUCAGGUCUGGAGCUGGACCACAGAGGUAGGCACAUGCCUGGUGUCACCCCCACCCCUGUGAAAAUGAAACUGUCUCAG
rnacentral:lncRNA from 1 species